rnacentral:rRNA from 1 species
UGUGUAGGCGGGUCGUUAAGUACCUUGUGAAAUCCCACGGCUUAACCGUGGAACCGCUUGGUAUACUGGCGGUCUUGAGCCACUUAGGGGCUACCGGAACAGAUGGUGGAGCGGUGAAACGCGUAGAUAUCAUCUGGAACGCCUAUGGUGAAAACAGGUAGCUGGGAGUGUGCUGACGCUGAGACACGAAAGCCAGGGGAGCAACG